AGAGUAGGACGAAUGGCCGCCCGGCACUCAACUUUAAGGGGGUAUGGGGGUAGGCGUGGUAUUUUCCUACACAGGUGAGGUAAGCAAGAUUUCCUGUCCCUUCUUAAAGUUGAGUGCCGGGAGGAAAGUCCGGGCUCCACAGGACAAGGUGCUGGGUAACGCCCAGUCCCGGUGACGGGAAGGAAAGUGCCACAGAAAGGAGACCGCCAGGCACUAAACUUUUGGAAAGUGCCACAUUUUGCCGUGAUUCUCUCCGAUUACGUAACUGGGGGAGGAAACGGCAAGAUCCUUCUGAGAGUUUAGUGCCUGGUAAGGGUGAAAGGGUGAGGUAAGAGCUCACCAGUCCCGCCGGUGACGGCGGGAGCUAGGCAAACCCCACCUGGAGCAAGACCAAAUAGGGGAGCGCCUGAGGGUGGUCCGCCCGAGCUCCCGGGUAGGUCGCUUGAGCCCAUCGGUAACGGUGGGCCUAGAUGAAUGGCCAUUGCCCGGC
rnacentral:RNase_P_RNA from 1 species